AACGUUCCCGGAAGAUCGUAAAUAAUUUUUACGAAAACUCACGUCUCGAACAAACUAACAGAUUGAACGCCUCAACGAAGAUAUAUAUGAGACGACAACUCAUGUUCACUUCAAACCCACUCUAAACAAAGUAACCCAAACAGACAUCCAGUAUAUAAACCGCAUAGCGGUAGGGGUUUAAGGCCACACUUGGCCAGACAUAU
rnacentral:lncRNA from 1 species